GGGCCUAUAGCUCAGUUGGUUAGAGCGCUUCACUGAUAAUGAAGAGGUCCCGCGUUCAAGUCGCGGUAGGCCCACCG
rnacentral:tRNA from 1 species